AAAUUAUAAAGCCAAACCUGUUGUGAAGCAGGGACGGAAAGCCAAAGGGUCUUGCUGGAAGAUGGCCAGGUUGCUGAG
rfam:Deltaproteobacteria bacterium RIFOXYC2_FTLL_48_10 rifoxyc2_full_scaffold_3046, whole genome shotgun sequence.